CCUGUUGCCCUGAGUCAUUCUCCAUCUUGGUUGUUGCAGGGGGUUAAAUUGCCUAGUGAUCAUCUUUCCUCUCUCCUUUGAGAAUCAUUUCUUUCUCCUUUAUUUCUGUUAAAAUCUUUGCGAUGAAAGAGAUCAGCCACACAUUUAAUACCCAUCAAAUCCAGAGGCUUCCCCCUGUUUGGGGAUCAGUGGUUCCCAGCUGGUAACAGAGUUGGCUGAACCCUUUUAUUUUCUCCAGCUGGCAUGGGAUGAGGCGGUCCCUCUGAGAGCAAUGUGAGUCCAGAAGUAUCCCAAACCCCAUUACAAAUAGUUUCUGAGGGGUUGCUUCCCGCAGUGUUCAGAUGUUGCCACCUCUGGGGUGGAUCCAUGGUGGCUAUUAUUUACUAGUGACAGGGCAUGGAAAUUUCCUACCUAUUCUCCUGUUAAAGAAGCACCCCCCAGGGCUCCCUCUGCCUGUGUGACUGGCCAGCAGGGGGUGGGUAUUGCUGGGUGCCUGGUG